ensembl:lncRNA
GGAGGAUGAACUCAUCCUUCACAGACAAAAUAUAGGGAAGAUGAACUUCCCCAAAAUGCAUGUACCUACUUAAAAACCAAAUCCCAUGUAUUUUUCUGCACUGAGAUUACUGGUAUUGAUCAGAUGAUUAACGUUGUAACACAUUUUGAACUUUAGAAUACUUCUCCUUCCCUCAGGCAGAUAAUUCUUUGUUUGCCUUUGUGUCUUCAUUUUCCUGUGGUGUCCAUGCAAUUUCUUUAUUUUCAGUUAUUGUACAAAGAAAUUGACUGCAGAAUGUGUAACUAAAAAUAGAGGUUUUGGUGGUGAACUCUAGUCAAAGCAUUGCAAGAAAACUGCUACCAAGAGGCAUGAAUUACCUGUACUAACUUUCUCCUCCAGGUCUUUAGCCCUGUCUUGUCUCCUACCUGUGAAGGUUAGUAUCAGGCUACCACAACGUACUAAGGGAAAGCAGAAUCUGCUUCCCUGCUUGUCAUUGGAGCUAACCUUUUUCCUCUUUCCUUUUCCCUUUCCUUUCUUUUUCCACAAACACAGCUUUUGCACAAAUGCAGAGAUUUUUCUUGCUUUCAUCCUGCAGCAGUGGUACUUUGUGGACAAACCAGUCUCUGGUGACGGAGAUCACAGGUGGAGUGCUGCUGCAGUGGCUCCUGAAAACUUCAUCUUUCUUUGGAGUGAAUUGGAGGCAAGGUGAUGAAAAAGGCAAGAGCUGCAUUUGAAUGAGAGAUCGAUCACAGAGACUGAAAGUGACAGCCCUAUCACAUUUGUUUGUGGACUUUGGAGACAGACAGAAAGGAUGAGCAAUUGACAAGGAGGUAGUUUGGAAGAGAAAAUGGAAAAAUAUGGAAGAGUGUAAUUCCACCAGAGCAAUGACUUCUUCUCUUCUGAGUUUCUAUUUGCAUAAGAAAACUAUAAAAAGGAAAGGGCAGCACAGAUUUGUUUGUUUGUUUGAACAAGUCAUUUGAUUUUGGAGAACUGUCUUGGUUUUUCAAAAGUCUUUUAUUUUGGAAUUAAACUCUGCAUCUUGGACAAGGCA